GACGAACGCUGGCGGCGUGCUUAACACAUGCAAGUCGAACGGAAAGGCCCUGCUGGUGUGGGGUGCUCGAGUGGCGAACGGGUGAGUAACACGUGAGUAACCUGCCCUUGACUUUGGGAUAACUUCAGGAAACUGGGGCUAAUACCGGAUAGGAGCUCCUGCUGCAUGGUGGGGGUUGGAAAGUUUCGGCGGUUGGGGAUGGACUCGCGGCUUAUCAGCUUGUUGGUGGGGUAGUGGCUUACCAAGGCUUUGACGGGUGGCCGGCCUGAGAGGGUGACCGGCCACAUUGGGACUGAGCUACGGCCCAGACUCCUACGGGAGGCAGCAGUGGGGAAUAUUGCACGAUGGGCGGAAGCCUGAUGCAGCAACGCCGCGUGCUGGAUGACGGCCUUCGGGUUGUAAACCGCUUUCGCCUGUGACGAAGCGUGAGUGACGGUAAUGGGUAAAGAAGCACCGGCUAACUCCGUG
rnacentral:rRNA from 1 species